rnacentral:rRNA from 1 species
GAUGAACGCUGGCGGCGUGCCUAAUACAUGCAAGUCGAGCGAACGGACGAGAAGCUUGCUUCUCUGAUGUUAGCGGCGGACGGGUGAGUAACACGUGGAUAACCUACCUAUAAGACUGGGAUAACUUCGGGAAACCGGAGCUAAUACCGGAUAAUAUUUUGAACCGCAUGGUUCAAAAGUGAAAGACGGUCUUGCUGUCACUUAUAGAUGGAUCCGCGCUGCAUUAGCUAGUUGGUAAGGUAACGGCUUACCAAGGCAACGAUGCAUAGCCGACCUGAGAGGGUGAUCGGCCACACUGGAACUGAGACACGGUCCAGACUCCUACGGGAGGCAGCAGUAGGGAAUCUUCCGCAAUGGGCGAAAGCCUGACGGAGCAACGCCGCGUGAGUGAUGAAGGUCUUCGGAUCGUAAAACUCUGUUAUUAGGGAAGAACAUAUGUGUAAGUAACUGUGCACAUCUUGACGGUACCUAAUCAGAAAGCCACGGCUAACUACGUGCCAGCAGCCGCGGUAAUACGUAGGUGGCAAGCGUUAUCCGGAAUUAUUGGGCGUAAAGCGCGCGUAGGCGGUUUUUUAAGUCUGAUGUGAAAGCCCACGGCUCAACCGUGGAGGGUCAUUGGAAACUGGAAAACUUGAGUGCAGAAGAGGAAAGUGGAAUUCCAUGUGUAGCGGUGAAAUGCGCAGAGAUAUGGAGGAACACCAGUGGCGAAGGCGACUUUCUGGUCUGUAACUGACGCUGAUGUGCGAAAGCGUGGGGAUCAAACAGGAUUAGAUACCCUGGCAGUCCACGCCGUAAACGAUGAGUGCUAAGUGUUAGGGGGUUUCCGCCCCUUAGUGCUGCAGCUAACGCAUUAAGCACUCCGCCUGGGGAGUACGACCGCAAGGUUGAAACUCAAAGGAAUUGACGGGGACCCGCACAAGCGGUGGAGCAUGUGGUUUAAUUCGAAGCAACGCGAAGAACCUUACCAAAUCUUGACAUCCUUUGACAACUCUAGAGAUAGAGCCUUCCCCUUCGGGGGACAAGGUGACAGGUGGUGCAUGGUUGUCGUCAGCUCGUGUCGUGAGAUGUUGGGUUAAGUCCCGCAACGAGCGCAACCCUUAAGCUUAGUUGCCAUCAUUAAGUUGGGCACUCUAAGUUGACUGCCGGUGACAAACCGGAGGAAGGUGGGGAUGACGUCAAAUCAUCAUGCCCCUUAUGAUUUGGGCUACACACGUGCUACAAUGGACAAUACAAAGGGCAGCGAAACCGCGAGGUCAAGCAAAUCCCAUAAAGUUGUUCUCAGUUCGGAUUGUAGUCUGCAACUCGACUAUAUGAAGCUGGAAUCGCUAGUAAUCGUAGAUCAGCAUGCUACGGUGAAUACGUUCCCGGGUCU